UGCCCAAGAGAUCGGGAUAACACCUGGAAACAGAUGCUAAUACCGGAUAACAACAGAUGAUGCCUAUCAACUGUUUAAAAGAUGGUUCUGCUAUCACUCUUGGAUGGACCUGCGGUGCAUUAGCUAGUUGGUGGGGUAACGGCCUACCAAGGCGAUGAUGCAUAGCCGAGUUGAGAGACUGAUCGGCCACAUUGGGACUGAGACACGGCCCAAACUCCUACGGGAGGCAGCAGUC
rnacentral:rRNA from 1 species